GCUCUAACUAAUUUAAAUUUUAGAUUUAUUAGGGUUUAGGCGUCGUCUAUUAACCGACUCUGGUUAGUAGAAGCGGUCGUUGAUUAUUUACCACUUGCAUCAAACUCGCAAAGUCGCAACUGCUUUCUCUAAACUUCCUCCCACUGAACUGUUUACUCGUUUUUUAGAAGGUUUUUGCGAACCGGCGAAACACGCACCGCCACCACUGAACUGCAUUGAAGGAAUUUCGGCGACAGGCGACCUAAACCACCCUACCGGCGGUGGCCAACACACACCACCGUACGCCGGCGCCGCGAAAUUCAUUACUCCUCCUCCGCGCGUCUUCCUCCAGUCCAGUCCAUACAUUCUCUCUUUGGUGUUUGGGAUGAAUGUCUGAAACACAUAUUGCCUUUGCAGCUAUCUCAUUGCUUCCAUGGGUUUGCAAGUAAUAUGGAGCUUUGGCCUUGCGUUGAUGGAUGCGUAUGCCCUUGCAAAGAAGAGAGUACUCCAUAAUCCAAUACUUGUCAGCCUUUUUGUAAUUGGUUGAGCACGAUAUGGGCUGAAACAGCUGAUAAUGCUCGGUCGGCAGCUCGAAGUUUUGUUCUUGGUGGCCUAUCUGAGAAACAUCAUGGUUUAAACAACUUCUGGACUACGAGAAAAAUGAUGUAUGCAUUCCUAACAGGUGCUUUUUGUUUUUGCACUUUCAGCUCAGUUCUGGCAGUGUAUGUUGAACCAAAAACAAAUGAUUCCCUUAAUCGAGGAAUUGAAGCAAUUAUGGGAUGUUGGAGCAACGACUUGAUUUCCCGACACCGGGAUCUAUUUUGCUUACAUAUAAUAAUCUAGAUAGUUUGUCUAAUUAUAGACAUUUAGUGUCUAUAUUUAUCGGCAUCCACCUUAUUACUUUUUAGAUUUGUCGAUAUAUAUUUUUGUAGAACUCGACUUCAACUUUAUUCCUCGAUAUCGGGAUGUAUUUUGUGUAUAUAAAUCUAAUUUAUUCAUGUUUAAA